rnacentral:rRNA from 1 species
AACGAACGCUGGCGGCGUGUUUAAGACAUGCAAGUCGCACGGGGCCACUUGGUAGCAAUACUUCAGUGGUUCAGUGGCGCACGGGUGAGUAACACGUGAAUGACAUGCCCUUCAGAGGGGGAUAGCCCAGGGAAACUUGGAUUAAUACCCCAUGGUCUCGCAAGAGUAAACGGUGGCCGCAAGGCUGUCGCUGGAGGAUUGGUUCGCGCCCUAUCAGCUUGUUGGCGGGGUAACGGCCCACCAAGGCUACGACGGGUACCUGGUCUGAGAGGACGAUCAGGCACACUGGAACUGAGACACGGUCCAGACACCUACGGGUGGCAGCAGUCGAGAAUAAUUCACAAUGGGGGCAACCCUGAUGGUGCAACGCCGCGUGGAGGAUGACGGUCUUCGGAUUGUAAACUCCUGUCAUCCGGGAGCAAGACCUGACGGUGAAUAGCCGGCAGGGUUGAUAGUACCGGAAGAGGAAGGGACGGCUAACUUCGUGCCAGCCGCCGCCGUAACAC